rnacentral:rRNA from 1 species
GAUGAACGCUGGUGGCGUGCCUAACACAUGCAAGUCGAGCGAUUCUCUUCGGAGAAGAGCGGCGGACGGGUGAGUAACGCGUGGGUAAUCUGCCCUGUACACACGGAUAACAUACCGAAAGGUAUGCUAAUACGAGAUAACAUGCUUUUAUCGCAUGGUAGAAGUAUCAAAGCUUUUGCGGUACAGGAUGGACCCGCGUCUGAUUAGCUAGUUGGUGAGGUAACGGCUCACCAAGGCGACGAUCAGUAGCCGACCUGAGAGGGUGAUCGGCCACAUUGGAACUGAGACACGGUCCAAACUCCUACGGGAGGCAGCAGUGGGGAAUAUUGCACAAUGGGCGAAAGCCUGAUGCAGCAACGCCGCGUGAGCGAUGAAGGCCUUCGGGUCGUAAAGCUCUGUCCUCAAGGAAGAUAAUGACGGUACUUGAGGAGGAAGCCCCGGCUAACUACGUG